rnacentral:rRNA from 1 species
AACGAACGCUGGCGGCAGGCCUAACACAUGCAAGUCGAGCGAGGACUUCGGUUCUAGCGGCGGACGGGUGAGUAACGCGUGGGAAUGUGCCCUUCUCUACGGAAUAGCCCUGGGAAACUGGGAGUAAUACCGUAUACGCCCUUUUGGGGAAAGAUUUAUCGGAGAAGGAUCAGCCCGCGUUGGAUUAGGUAGUUGGUGGGGUAAUGGCCUACCAAGCCGACGAUCCAUAGCUGGUUUGAGAGGAUGAUCAGCCACACUGGGACUGAGACACGGCCCAGACUCCUACGGGAGGCAGAAGUGGGGAAUCUUAGACAAUGGGGGCAACACUGAUCUAGCCAUGCCGCGUGAGUGAUGAAGGCCUUAGGGUUGUAAAGCUCUUUCAGCUGGGAAGAUAAUGACGGUACCAGCAGAAGAAGCCCCGGCUAACUCCGUG